rnacentral:rRNA from 1 species
GAUGAACGCUGGCGGCGUGCCUAAUACAUGCAAGUCGAGCGAACAGAUGAGGAUCUUGCUCCUCUGACGUUAUCGGCGGACGGGAGAGUCACACGUGGAUAACCUACCUAUAAGACAGGGAUACCUUUGGGAAACCUGCGCUACUACCGGAUAAUAUAUUGCACCUCAUGGUUCACUAGUGAAAUACGGUUUUGCUGUCACUUAUAGAUGGAUCCGCGCCGCAUUAGCUAGUUGGUAAGGUAACGGCUUACCAAGGCAACGAUGCGUAACCGACCUGAAAGGGUGGUCGACCAGACGGGAUGAGAGGAACGGUCGAGACUCCUACGGGGAGAAGCAGUAGAGAAUCUUACGCGAUGGAGGAGAGCCUGACGGUGCAAAACCGGGUAAGGGAUGAAGGACUUCGGAUCGGAAAACUCUGUUAGUAGGAAGAAACUAAUAUGUUAGUAACUGUGCAGGUAUUGACGGUACCUGGACAGAAAGCCACGGCUAACUACGUG